rfam:Triticum aestivum genome assembly, contig: Triticum_aestivum_CS42_TGACv1_scaffold_129401_2BL
GUAGUACUCCCUCCGUUCGGAAUUACUUGUCUCGGAAAUGGAUGUAUUUAGAUGUAUUUUAGUUCUAGAUACAUUAAUUUCCGAGACAAGUAAUUCCGAACGAAGGGAGUACCUC